rnacentral:rRNA from 1 species
CCUACGGGUGACAGCAGUGAGGAAUAUUGGUCAAUGGACGCGAGCCUGAACCAGCCAAGUAGCGUGAAGGAUGACUGCCCUACGGGUUGUAAACUUCUUUUAUAAAGGAAUAAAGUGAGGCACGUGUGCCUUUUUGUAUGUACUUUAUGAAUAAGGAUCGGCUAACUCCGUGCCAGCAGCCGCGGUAAUACGGAGGAUCCGAGCGUUAUCCGGAUUUAUUGGGUUUAAAGGGAGCGUAGAUGGGUUGUUAAGUCAGUUGUGAAAGUUUGCGGCUCAACCGUAAAAUUGCAAUUGAUACUGGCAGUCGUGAGUACAGUUGAGGUAGGCGGAAUUCGUGGUGUAGCGGGGAAAUGCUUAGAUAUCACGAAGAACCCCGAUUGCGAAGGCAGCCUACUAAACUGUGACUGACAUUGAUGCUCGAAAGUGUGGGUAUCAAACAGGAUUAGAUACCCGAGUAGUC